rnacentral:rRNA from 1 species
CCCAGACUCCUACGGGAGGCAGCAGUGGGGAAUAUUGCACAAUGGGGGAAACCCUGAUGCAGCGACGCCGCGUGAGCGAGGAAGUAUUUCGGUAUGUAAAGCUCUGUCAGCAGGGAAGAAGAAUGACGGUACCUGAAGAAGAAGCACCGGCUAAAUACGUGCCGGCAGCCGCGGUAAUACGUAUGGUGCAAGCGUUAUCCGGAUUUACUGGGUGUAAAGGGAGCGCAGGCGGUUCUGCAAGUCUGAUGUGAAAGCCCGGGGCUCAACCGCGGGACUGCAUUGGAAACUGCGGGACUGGAGUGUCGGAGGGGUAAGCGGAAUUCCUGGUGUAGCGGUGAAAUGCGUAGAUAUCAGGAGGAACAUCGGUGGCGAAAGCGCUGUACUGGACCAUUAUUGACGCUGAGGAACGAAAGCCAGGGGAGCAAAUGGGAUUAGAUACCCCCGUAAAU